rnacentral:rRNA from 1 species
CCUACGGGAGGCAGCGGUGAGGAAUAUUGGUCAAUGGGCGCGAGCCUGAACCAGCCAAGUAGCGUGAAGGAUGACUGCCCUACGGGUUGUACACUUCUUUAUGAAGGAAUACAGUGAGGCACGUGUGCCUUUUUGUAUGUACUUUAUGAAUAAGAAUCGGCUAACUCCGUGCCAGCAGCCGCGGUAAUACGGAGGAUCCGAGCGUUAUCCGGAUUUAUUGGGUGUAAAGGGUGCGUAGAUGGGUUGUUAAGUCAGUUGUGAAAGUUUGCGGCUCAACCGUAAAAUUGCAAUUGAUACUGGCAGCCUUGAGUACAGUUGAGGUAGGCGGAAUUCGUGGUGUAGCGGUGAAAUGCUUAGAUAUCACGAAGAACUCCGAUUGCGAAGGCAGCUUACUAAACUGCCACUGACAUUGAUGCUCGAAAGUGUGGGUAUCAAACAGGAUUAGAUACCCGAGUAGUC